AGAGCGAACGCUGGCGGCAGGCCUAACACAUGCAAGUCGAGCGCCCCGCAAGGGGAGCGGCAGACGGGAGAGUAACACGUGGGAACGUACCCUUCAGUUCGGAACAACCCAGGGAAACUUGGGCUAAUACCGAAUACGUCCGUAAGGAGAAAGAUUUAUCGCUGAAGGAUCGGCCCGCGUCUGAUUAGCUUGUUGGUGAGGUAACGGCUCACCAAGGCGACGAUCAGUAGCUGGUCUGAGAGGAUGAUCAGCCUCACUGGGACUGAGACACGGCCCAGACUCCUACGGGAGGCAGCAGUGGGGAAUAUGGACAAUGGGCGCAAGCCUGAUCCAGCCAUGCCGCGUGGGUGAUGAAGGCCCUAGGGUUGUAAAGCCCUUUCGGCGGGGAAGAUAAUGACGGUACCGCAGAAGAAGCCCCGGCUAACUUCGUGCCAGCAGCCGC
rnacentral:rRNA from 1 species